GCCAGUGUAGCUCAGGGGUAGAGCAGCUGUUUCGUAAACAGCAGGUCAUGGGUUCGAAUCCCAUCACUGGCUCCA
rnacentral:tRNA from 1 species